AUGAAGUUUGAAACUUUUGAGGAGGCUGUUGCUCACUACGAGCUAUAUGCACUCCGAAAUGGAUUUGGGACAAGGAUAGAGUACACAAGAACACUAAAGGACAACACAGCGAGCAGAGCACUCCUGGUGUGUGGGAAAGGCGGCAAGCCAAAGAAGAAGGAGGAGGUACAGGAUGUACUGAACCCAGAAGGCAUCGUGAAGAAGAGAAAAAGGCGUAAGAUUGUGAGGACUGAGUGUCCAGCCCACCUUUAUCUUACGCACAAGGAUGCGUGGUGGAGAGUCGAACGCUUUGAUGACAACCACAACCAUCCACUGAUAAGAAAGCCAUCUCUGACAAAAUUUAUAGCCUCACAUCAGAACAUUCCCAAAGACGAGCAAGAUUUCUUACGGAUUCUACAUGAAUGCAACAUAGACACCGCAAGGCAAAUGCAACUAAUUUCAUGGUUCUAUGGUGAUGCUGAGAAUGUACCAUACACAACACAGGACCUUGCAAAUCAGCGAGCCAAAUUUCGCAAGGAGUACCGUAAUGCAGACUGA
rnacentral:rRNA from 1 species